rnacentral:ncRNA from 1 species
AAACGUUGUUGCGACAGCAUUCCUGCGUAGUACGAGAGGAACCGCAGGUACGGACCAAUGGCACAAUACUUGUUCGAGCGAACAGUGGUAUGACGCUACGUCCGUUGGAUUAUGCCUGAACGCCUCUAAGGUCGUAUCCGUGCUGGACUGCAAUGAUAAAUAAGGGGCAAUUUGCAUUGUAUGGCUUCUAAACCAUUAAAAGUUUUUAAU